rnacentral:rRNA from 1 species
UAAAGUGGCGUACGAGUGAGUAACACGUGGAUCAUCUACCCUUGAGUGGGGAAUAACGCUGGGAAACCGGCGCUAAUACCGCAUAAUCCCGAGAGGGCAAAGGAGCAAUUCGCUUCAGGAGGAGUCCGCGGCCGAUUAGCUAGUUGGCAGGGUAAAAGCCUACCAAGGCAACGAUCGGUAGCCGGCCUGAGAGGGCACACGGCCACACUGGCACUGAAACACGGGCCAG